GACGAACGCUGGCGGCGUGCCUAAUACAUGCAAGUCGAGCGGACCACUUCGGUGGUCAGCGGCGGACGGGUGAGUAACACGUGGGCAACCUGCCUGUAAGACUGGGAUAACACCGGGAAACCGGCGCUAAUACCGGAUAAUCCUUUCCUUCACAUGAGGGAAAGCUGAAAGACGGUUUCGGCUGUCACUUACAGAUGGGCCCGCGGCGCAUUAGUGAGUUGGUGAGGUAACGGCUCACCAAGGCAACGAUGCGUAGCCGACCUGAGAGGGUGAUCGGCCACACUGGGACUGAGACACGGCCCAGACUCUUACGGGAGGCAGCAGUAGGGAAUCUUCCGCAAUGGACGAAAGUCUGACGGAGCAACGCCGCGUGAGCGAUGAAGGCCUUCGGGUCGUAAAGCUCUGUUGUCAGGGAAGAACAAGUACCGGAGUAACUGCCGGUACCUUGACGGUACCUGACCAGAAAGCCACGGCUAACUACGUGCCAGCCGCCGCCGUAAUAC
rnacentral:rRNA from 1 species